rnacentral:rRNA from 1 species
CGGAGGGUGCGAGCGUUAUCCGGAAUUACUGGGUUUAAAGGGUGCGUAGGCGGCUUUGUAAGUCAGGAGUGAAAGUUUGCGGCUCAACCGUAAAAUUGCUUCUGAUACUGCAUGGCUAGAAUUAGGAUGAGGUCAGCGGAAUGUGGCAUGUAGCGGUGAAAUGCAUAGAUAUGCCAUAGAACACCAAUUGCGAAGGCAGCUGACUAGACCUGGAUUGACGCUGAGGCACGAAAGCGUGGGGAGCGAACAGGAUUAGAUACCCUGGUAGUCCACGCCCUAAACGAUGCUUACUCGACGUAUGAAGCUAGACUUUGUGCGUCCAAGGGAAACCGUUAAGUAAGCCACCUGGGGAUACGACCGCAAGGUUG